GAAAAAAACUCGACCUUCGUCAACAGGAAGUAGAAUGAUUGCAAAGCCAAACAGUUUUGAAAAAUUACGCUACUAUGAUGCAGAGUCGAAAGUCAAUGAAAGAUAAUGUUUCAAUAGAAAAUUCUCAUACUGAUGACAUGCAAAGUUCUGAAUCUUAUGACACUGCCUUGAUUGGUCCGUAUGAUGACAGCUUCGCAAAUAUAAUAUGAUAUUCACAAAAAUGGGAAAAAUAGAUCGGAAUUCAAGAACGAUGAAAGAGAUUUAAACCAUCCUUCUAGAAGAAUGUCCGAACCAAUCGGAACUAACAAAUGGAGCCAUCAAGAUCUCGAAGACAAUUGACACCGAAAAGGGGUGAACAAUCCAACAAUCCAUCGCCGGGAUGUCUAGGACAACCCCCUGUUUAGACAAAGAAAUUCGAGGCCUGGUACGAGAGCACGAUACAUAGAAAAAAGUUUAGAUAUGCGCGAAUAUUGGAUCUAUUUAGAUGAAGAUACUCCUUUACACGUUUAUAUAUGGGAGACAAGAAAAACUUACUUGGACUCAAGAUUUGUGAGGAAGUUGCUCAAAAACUAUGGGGGACAGAGGGCCUUAAAAAAAGAUGUUUAGAUGCAAAAAGAGCAAAUAAAAGAAAAGAAAAUAGUCCAGAUCAACAGAGGAUACCUCUUAUUCACGAAAAAUAUGAAAGAGUAAAAGAUUGACUAUAUAUCAAACUUACGGAUGCUGGUGUAUCCGGCAAGCAGCGAAAUAAUAGAAUGCGAAAAGUUUGAAAUCCUUCAAGGUCAAAAAUAUAUUUUGUGCGCAGAAAACUAUGAUAAUUAUAAGAGGUUCGUUUUCUUACAGAUUAUAAAAAGGUAAUUUGUCGAAGCACAUGCGUCCUAGGGUCCUGUUGUCAGAAGCUUAAAGAUCCGCUUGUACGUAAUGUCCACUGUGAUGUUUCUUUGUUCGGAAUUUGACGUUUUUCAAUGUUGAGAAUAGUCUGGGCGAAUAAUCAAGUUCAAAAGUUAUUUAUCUUUACUUCACUUAUAAAAUUGAAAAAAGGCCGACUGACUAACCCAACAAAUUUUAGAAGAAAAACUUAAGCAUAAAUAAGAAAGAAUCCUGGAAAGGUUUCUUGCAAUUUGAAACAUGAGAAUGACAACUCGCUAAAGACCAUUUGGAGUUGACCCUUACAUUUGAUAAAUAUAAAGUUAAAGAUUAAUUGAUUUGGAAGUUAAAGGCACACCUAGAAAAUCAUUAAUUGGGCGCUAAUUAAAAAUUGUGUUUUAUUAUUAAUGUCUAAUUGAAGAGGUUCAUUUUCUCAGUGAGGCUGCGUCUGAGGAUCUUGUCCUUUGGGUUAAAAAUGUGUGAUAAUGCAAUUUUCAUUCAAUUUUAAUUUUGAAAAAACCAAUCUAUUCCUUGAAAGGUUUUUCACAAUUCUAUAUAAAAAUAGAUAUAUCUAUAAAAUUAUUCAAUGGUCCGUGAAUGUCGGUUUAGAUAUUUUGCAAUUGGAAGAUCGAAUCUGCAUUUUGUUUGUCUAACUUAAAGCAUUUAUAAUGCAUUCCUUUCGCUUUAUAUGUUACCCGGUAGAU